UACAGAGGGGGCAAGCGUUGUUCGGAAUUACUGGGCGUAAAGGGCGCGUAGGCGGCCGCCUAAGUCAGACGUGAAAUCCCUCGGCUCAACUGAGGAACUGCCUUUGAAACUGUCUGGCUUGAGGCCGGGAGAGGGUAGCGGAAUUCCCAGUGUAGCGGUGAAAUGCGUAGAUAUUGGGAGGAACACCAGUGGCGAAGGCGGCUACCUGGACCGGUUCUGACGCUGAGGCGCGAAAGCGUGGGUAGCAAACAGG
rnacentral:rRNA from 1 species